rnacentral:rRNA from 1 species
GUGGGGAAUAUUGCACAAUGGGCGAAAGCCUGAUGCAGCAACGCCGCGUGAGUGAAGAAGUAUUUCGGUAUGUAAAGCUCUAUCAGCAGGGAAGAAAAUGACGGUACCUGACUAAGAAGCCCCGGCUAACUACGUGCCAGCAGCCGCGGUAAUACGUAGGGGGCAAGCGUUAUCCGGAUUUACUGGGUGUAAAGGGAGCGUAGACGGCGAGGCAAGUCUGAAGUGAAAGCCCGGGGCUCAACCCCGGGACUGCUUUGGAAACUGUCUUGCUAGAGUGCUGGAGAGGUAAGUGGAAUUCCUAGUGUAGCGGUGAAAUGCGUAGAUAUUAGGAGGAACACCAGUGGCGAAGGCGGCUUACUGGACAGUAACUGACGUUGAGGCUCGAAAGCGUGGGGAGCAAACAGGAUUAGAAACCCUAGUAGUCC